GUGGUACUGUUGGAGCUUUGCAAGGUAUGAUAAUAUGGGUUCAUUAUUUUGUGCCUCACACCCUUAGUGGGGUGUGAGUUGUUAAUUACAUUUUGCAAGCUCUGCUGCUGCACUUUGUACAUGUCAUGACAAAUUUUUGCUCUCAACAUAAUUGACAAAUUGAGGACUUAUGCAUUGAAUCAAAUGUGGGUUGGUUAUGGUGGAAUACUUUGAAUUAUAUGAAAUAUAGGAGAUUGUUGGUAUAUCUUUUUGCAACUUUGCUAAGUUCACACAUGCUGAUUUUGGACUAGUGAUGUACAUCAUUCAGUUCGAAAUAUAAAGGAGCUUUGGUACAUCGUGCUCAUAAAAAUUGAAGAGUUGCUACUUGCCAAUGUUAUUACACAAAGAAUAAUGUUGCAUUCAAUUGGCAAUGAAAAAUUUAAUUACUGGACAGCACGCUGAUAGAUUAUGUUCUGCUUUUUUUUAUUGAUCUAAGGAGAACCUUAAAUUUUACUUUCUUAC
rnacentral:misc_RNA from 1 species